rfam:Astyanax mexicanus chromosome 22, whole genome shotgun sequence.
GUACUUCAUCAUUGUAAGUCGCUUUGGACAAAAGCGUCUGCCAAAUGAAAUGUA